CCUACGGGAGGCAGCAGUGGGGAAUAUUGCACAAUGGGCGCAAGCCUGAUGCAGCCAUGCCGCGUGUGUGAAGAAGGCCUUCGGGUUGUAAAGCACUUUCGGCGGGGAGGAAGGCGGUGAGGUUAAUACCCUUAUCGAUUGACGUUACCCGCAGAAGAAGCACCGGCUAACUCCGUGCCAGCAGCCGCGGUAAUACGGAGGGUGCAAGCGUUAAUCGGAAUUACUGGGCGUAAAGCGCACGCAGGCGGUCUGUCAAGUCGGAUGUGAAAUCCCCGGGCUCAACCUGGGAACUGCAUUCGAAACUGGCAGGCUAGAGUCUUGUAGAGGGGGGUAGAAUUCCAGGUGUAGCGGUGAAAUGCGUAGAGAUCUGGAGGAAUACCGGUGGCGAAGGCGGCCCCCUGGACAAAGACUGACGCUCAGGUGCGAAAGCGUGGGGAGCAAACAGGAUUAGAUACCCGUGUAGUC
rnacentral:rRNA from 1 species